rnacentral:rRNA from 1 species
AGUGAACGCUGGCGGUAGGCCUAACACAUGCAAGUCGAACGGCAGCACAGUAAGAGCUUGCUCUUACGGGUGGCGAGUGGCGGACGGGUGAGGAAUACAUCGGAAUCUACUUUUUCGUGGGGGAUAACGUAGGGAAACUUACGCUAAUACCGCAUACGACCUACGGGUGAAAGCAGGGGAUCUUCGGACCUUGCGCGAUUGAAUGAGCCGAUGUCGGAUUAGCUAGUUGGCGGGGUAAAGGCCCACCAAGGCGACGAUCCGUAGCUGGUCUGAGAGGCUGAUCGGCGACACUGGAGCUGAGACACGGUCCAGACUCCUGCGGGAGGCAGCAGUGGGGAAUAUUGGACAAUGGGCGCAAGCCUGAUCCAGCCAUACCGCGUGGGUGAAGAAGGCCUUCGGGUUGUAAAGCCCUUUUGUUGGGAAAGAAAAGCAGCAGGUUAAUACCCCGCUGUUCUGACGGUACCCAAAGAAUAAGCACCGGCUAACUUCGUG